CUUCUCUUGUCUAUGGAUGUUCCCUUUCUAGUUAUAGAUAGCACACAUAUAAUCUUAAAUACUCACUUGAUGUCACCUCCAGAUUUUAAAAGAAGUUGCUUUGUUUCCUCUCCUCAGCUAUUCCUCGUUAUUCGUAGGCAAGACUUAGUAUUUUCUGGAUUUGAACAUUGGUACCAGCAUAAUGAGAGCUUGGAUCACAUUUCAUAAACACAAAUAAAUGUGUUUAUUUAAACUGGAAACCUUUACAGUGAAUCAUAGAAUGGCUAGGGUUGGAAGAGACCGAAAGGAUCAUCAAGUUCCAACUCCCCUGCUCUGGGCAGGGCCACCAACCUCCAGACCUGCUCCUAGACCAGGUUGCCUAGCGCCCCAUCCAACCUGGUCUUGAACACUUCCAUACAUCUCACCACUCCCUCUGUAAAGAACUUCCCCCUGAUAUCCAAUCUAAACCUUCCUUCCUUGAGCUUAAAAUCAUUCCCCUUUGUCCUAUCACUGCCUACCCAUCUAAAAAGUUGAUUCCUGUAAAAAGUUGAUUCUCUUACUUUUUAUAAUUCUCUUUUAAAUGCUGGAAGGUAGUAAUGAAGCCUCCUCACAGCCUUCUCUUCUCCAGGCUGAACAAGCCCAGCACCUUCAACCUGUCUUUGUAGGAGAGGUGCUCCAGUCCUCUGAUCAUCUUAGUGGCCCUCCUUUGGACUCUCUCCAAUAGCUCCACAUCUUCCCUGUACUGGGGCCCCAGAUCUGGUUGCAGUACUCAGGAGGGGAGAAUAGAGAGGGACGACUACUUCCCUGUCCCUGCUGGCUAUCCCUCUUCUGAUGGAGCCCAGGAAACAGUUGGCCUUCCAAGCUGCAAGAGCACACUGCUGGCUCAUGUUCAGUUUAUCAUCCACCAGGACCCAAAGGUCCUUCUCCACAGUGUAACAAGCUGGAGCUCUCAAGAAAACAGAUUUUCAGCUUAGAAACUCUUGAAAAGUUACAAGAUUAUAUGCAGUGUUAUUGCAUAUUGUUACUUUGUAGAAUAAAGUUUCCAAUGUCAAUUUUUAAUUGUAUCUCACAGUUCAAGCUCUACAUGUUGUAACUACAAGCAUAUCUUAGUCACAGAAUCAGCAAGGUUGGAAAAGACCUCCAAGAUCAUCUAGUUGAACUAUCAAAUCAUCAUCUUCAGAUGACUGAUGCUUUCAGCAAAGGUUCCUGUUGAAUACUCAAGGAUAACAAACUGAAAAUAUGUAAAGAAAAAGGAAUAUUGAAAAAAAAAAAAGUGUUUCUAUCCUCAACUAUAUUUGAAAUAAUUUCUUCCUUUGAAAUGGAAUCAGUGUCAUAUGAGGAAAACCCUUCCUGACAUUUCUUUGAAACGGAAAAGGGAGGGGAGGAGAGGAGAGCCAAUUUACUAAAAUGAAAAUUGUUUUAGUGUUCUCAGGUUCUGAUGUGUUCUGGUGGAAGCCCCCCUUUCGACAGAAUGAUGACUCCUGCUCAGGACAAAGCAGUUUGUCAAGUUGUAACUCCAGGAAGUUCGUAACUAAGCAAUAGGUCAGCUGUUGAAAAGUUCAGAUCUAAAGAUGCUCAUUUGGGAAACUUCUGACAAGAAGUUCUCUGAGGCCUGCUCAGCCUACACAGAAGAAUCUAUCAAGAGAAACCUUCAAGUCUCACAGAGGAGGAGAUAUUUAUGUGGUCUAUAUGGUCAAAUAUAUAUAUGUAUAUCGAAUUCUGUGAUCAGAUCAGAAAGCCAACUGUAUCCUCGGUUGCAUCAAGAGAAGAGUGACCAGCAGGUUGAAGGAUGUGAUUCUGUCCCUCUACUCUGCUCCACCUGGAAUACUGCAUCCAGUUCUGGAGCCCCCAACACAAGGAGGACAUGGAGUUGUUGAAGCAAGUCCAGAGAGCUGGCUAGCGUGUAAAACACUCUACAACACUCUGCAAAGAGUGUAAAAUGCUGCAAAACAGCCUAAUCUCUACUGUAGCAUUCUGCUUUGAUAUUGAUGAUAACUUGAUGAAGUAACACAUGAAAAACUGUUCCAGAAAGUGCAAGAGAGGAAGAAAGAAGAAACAAAGACAACAUACUUCUUUUUCCCUCAAAAAUCAGGGGACGAAUUCACUCUGGACCUCAGGUUAAGUUAUGAAGGAUCUGGCACCAACUGGGUAUCUUUGAGGCAACAUGAGCAACUGGAAGCACUUACUGCAUUCAAACUUGUCAGUUUUUCACCUGUGGUAUUUUCUGGUCAGGUCAAGAAGUGCUUUCAGUGGAACUACAACAUCUAGAACAAAAAUUUGACACAGGUUGCCCUCAAGGCACUCACUGAUCUGAAGGGGUAAAGCAUGAGCACUGUAACAAAGGAGUCUCUUUCAUGUGAUCAUUCUCUGAAGAACUGUGUGUUUAAUCCUCAGAAUCUGAAGAAAGACCCUAGAGAAGGUGAAG
ensembl:lncRNA